GACGAACGCUGGCGGCGUGCCUAAUACAUGCAAGUUGAGCGCUGAAGGUUGGUACUUGUACCAACUGGAUGAGCAGCGAACGGGUGAGUAACGCGUGGGGAAUCUGCCUUUGAGCGGGGGACAACAUUUGGAAACGAAUGCUAAUACCGCAUAAAAACUUUAAACACAAGUUUUAAGUUUGAAAGAUGCAAUUGCAUCACUCAAAGAUGAUCCCGCGUUGUAUUAGCUAGUUGGUGAGGUAAAGGCUCACCAAGGCGAUGAUACAUAGCCGACCUGCGAGGGUGCUCGGCCACCUUGGGACUGCGACACGGCCCAAACUCCUACGGGAGGCAGCAGUAGGGAAUCUUCGGCCAUGGACGAAAGUCUGACCGAGCAACGCCGCGUGAGUGAAGAAGGGUUUCGGAUCGUAAAACUCUGUUGGUAGAGAAGAACGUUGGUGAGAGUGGAAAGCUCAUCAAGUGACGGUAACUACCCAGAAAGGGACGGCUAACUACGUG
rnacentral:rRNA from 1 species